CCUACGGGAGGCAGCAGUGAGGAAUAUUGCGCAAUGGCCGCAAGGCUGACGCAGCAACGCCGCGUGAGGGAUGAAGGUUUUCGGAUUGUAAACCUCUGUUAGGAGGGACGAAAGGUACUAUUAUGAAUAGUGAUAGUAAUUGACGGUACCUCCAGAGGAAGCCCCGGCUAACUCCGUGCCAGCAGCCGCGGUAAUACGGGGGGGGCUAGCGUUGUCCGGAAUCAUUGGGCGUAAAGGGCGCGUAGGCGGGGUGGUCAGUCUGAGGUGAAAACUUGCGGCUUAACCGUAAGCCUGCCUCGGAUACUGCCAUUCUUGAGUUCGGUAGAGGGAAGUGGAAUUCCUGGUGUAGCGGUGAAAUGCGUAGAUAUCAGGAAGAACACCAGUAGCGAAGGCGGCUUCCUGGCCCGAUACUGACGCUGAUGCGCGAAAGCGUGGGGAGCGAACAGGAUUAGAUACCCUGGUAGUCCACGCUGUAAACGAUGGGCACUAGGUGUUGGAUGUAGAUUCAGCGCCGGAGCGAACGCAUUAAGUGUUCCGCCUGGGGAGUACGGCCGCAAGGCUAAAACUCAAAGGAAUUGACGG
rnacentral:rRNA from 1 species